GAAAGAAUUAGAAUAUAAUAAUAAAAUAGAUUUAAAAUUUAUUUUUUAAAUUAAUAAAAUAAUAAUAAGUGAUAUAAUUUUUAGUAUAUUUUAAGAAAAAAUUUAUUUAAAUUAUAAAUUAAAUUAUUGUAAGAGAAUUUAAUUUUUUAUAUUUAAAGAUAUAUUAUUUUUAUAUACCUUUUGUAUUAGGGUUUAUUAAAAAAUUUUAUUUAUUAAUAAAUUUUUCGAAUUUAAUUGAGUUAAGAUUAAAUAAUAGUUAGAGUUACAAAUUUAUUAUUAAUUUAAUUUUAGUAAUGAAAUGUUAUUCGUAAUUAAAAAUAUCUAAUUUUUUAAUAAUUGAAUUUAAUUCAAAAAUUUUGAUUUUAUUAAAUUAUUUAUAUAAAUAUAAUUAAGUUAAACAAAAUUUUAAAUCUUUAGGGGAUAAACUUUGAAGUUAAUAAUUAAAAAUUAUUUUUUAAUUUUUUUAUAUAGAAGUAUAAUUUAAAAUUUUAUUUUUUAAAAAGAAUGUUAUAAUUUAUUUAAAUUUUUUAUUUAUUAAUAAUUUAAAUUGAGUUUUAAAUAGUUAUUAUUAAAAUAUAAAUAAUAAUAAUAAUUAUAUUUAGGAAUAAUGAUUAAAUUAGUAAAUUUAAGUUUAAUUAGUAUUUUUUAAUAUAUAAUAAUUUUAAAUAAUGAAUUUAGCAAAAUAUUAUAUUUACCUGUUUAAUAAAAACAUGUCUUUAAAUAUAAAUUAAUUUAAAGUCAAAUCUGCUCAAUGAAAAAAUUUAAUAGCUGCAAUAUUAUGAUUGUAGGAAGGUAGCAUAAUAAAUUGUCUUUUAAUUGAAGAAUGGAAUGAAAGAUUUAAUAAAAUAUAAACUUUAUUAUUUUAAAAUAAAUUUAAUUUUAUUUUUAAGUAAAAAAUCUUAAAUAAUUUUAUUAGACGAGAAGACCCUAUAAAAUUUUAUAAAUAUAUUUUAUAAAUAAAUUAAUUUAUAAAUAUCAUAUUUAUUUUUUUGGGGGGUAUAAUUAAAUUUAAUAAAUUUUUUUAUAAUAAAUUAUAUAUUUAAAUAGAAGUUUAUAAAAGAUUGAUUAUUUUAUAUUAUUAGAUUAAAUUACUUUAGGGAUAACAGCAUAAUUUUUUUAGAGAGUUCUUAUUGAUAAAAAAGUUUAUGACCUCGAUGUUGAAUUAAAAUAUAUAUUAAGUGAAGAUUCUUUAUUAAUUUAGUCUGUUCGACUAUUAAAAUUUUACAUGAUUUGAGUUAAAAUCGGUGUGAGCCAGAUUGGUUUUUAUCUAUAAAUUAAAUUUUAAAUAUUUGUACGAAAGGACUUUAUUUUAAAAAAUGGGUUAAAAUUUAAUUUUUAAAUGAAUAAUAAUAAUAUUAUAUUAUAAUUUUAGGAUAUAAAGAAUUAAAAUUUUAUUUAUAUAGUUUAAAAACAUUAUAAUUUUAUUAUAAAAAUAAUUAAAAUAAUUUAAAAAUAGGGGGAAAGUUAAUAAAAUUUUUAUAAAAAAGUAAUUUUUUAAUAUAUUUAAAAUUAUAUAUUUUAAAUAUUUUUUAAGGUGAAAUGAAAGUGUUUUUA
rnacentral:rRNA from 1 species